rnacentral:rRNA from 1 species
GGACGAACGCUGGCGGCGUGCUUAACACAUGCAAGUCGAACGAAGAGCGAUGGAAGCUUGCUUCUAUCAAUCUUAGUGGCGAACGGGUGAGUAACGCGUAAUCAACCUGCCCUUCAGAGGGGGACAACAGUUGGAAACGACUGCUAAUACCGCAUACGAUCUAAUCUCGGCAUCGAGGAUAGAUGAAAGGUGGCCUCUACAUGUAAGCUAUCACUGAAGGAGGGGAUUGCGUCUGAUUAGCUAGUUGGAGGGGUAACGGCCCACCAAGGCGAUGAUCAGUAGCCGGUCUGAGAGGAUGAACGGCCACAUUGGGACUGAGACACGGCCCAGACUCCUACGGGAGGCAGCAGUGGGGAAUCUUCCGCAAUGGACGGAAGUCUGACGGAGCAACGCCGCGUGAGUGAUGACGGCCUUCGGGUUGUAAAGCUCUGUUAAUCGGGACGAAAGGCCUUCUUGCGAAUAGUGAGAAGGAUUGACGGUACCGGAAUAGAAAGCCACGGCUAACUACGUG